rnacentral:rRNA from 1 species
GACGAACGCUGGCGGCGUGCUUAACACAUGCAAGUCGAACGGAAAGGCCCUGCUUUUGUGGGGUGCUCGAGUGGCGAACGGGUGAGUAACACGUGAGUAACCUGCCCUUGACUUUGGGAUAACUUCAGGAAACUGGGGCUAAUACCGGAUAGGAGCUCCUGCUGCAUGGUGGGGGUUGGAAAGUUUCGGCGGUUGGGGAUGGACGCGCGGCUUAUCAGCUUGUUGGUGGGGUAGUGGCUUACCAAGGCUUUGACGGGUAGCCGGCCUGGGAGGGUGACCGGCCACAUUGGGACUGCGAUACGGCCCAGACGGCUACGGGAGGCAGCAGUGGGGAAUAUUGCACAAUGGGCGGAAGCCUGAUGCAGCAACGCCGCGUGCGGGAUGACGGCCUUCGGGUUGUAAACCGCUUUCGCCUGUGACGAAGCGUGAGUGACGGUAAUGGGUAAAGAAGCACCGGCUAACUACGUG